rnacentral:rRNA from 1 species
UAGAGUAUACCAAGGGGCGCGAGACAACUCUCUCUAAGGAACUCGGCAAAAUUACCUCGUAACUUCGGAAGAAGAGGUACCCCUUCACGGGGGUUGCAAUAGAUUGACCCUGGCGACUGUUUACCAAAAACACAGGUCUCCGCUAAUUCGUAAGAAAAAGUAUGGGGGCUGACGCCUGCCCAGUGCCGGAAGGUUAAAGAAGUUGGUUAGUCCUUGGACAAAGCUAGCGACUGAAGCCCCGGUGAACGGCGGCCGUAACUAUAACGGUCCUAAGGUAGCGAAAUUCCUUGUCGGGUAAGUUCCGACCCGCACGAAAGGCGUAACGAUCAGGGUACUGUCUCGGAGAGAGGCUCGGCGAAAUAGACAUGUCUGUGAAGAUGCGGACUACCUGCACCUGGACAGAAAGACCCUAUGAAGCUUUACUGUAUCUUGGAAUUGGGUUUGGUCUUUGCAUGCGCAGGAUAGGUGGGAGGCUUUGAAGAUGAUCUUGCGGGGUCGUUGGAGCCACUGGUGAGAUACCACCCUUGCAAUGAUAAAAUCCUAACUUUGAACCGUUAUCCGGUCAAAGAACAGUUUCAGGUGGGCAGUUUGACUGGGGCGGUCGCCUCCUAAAAGGUAACGGAGGCGUGCAAAGGUUCCCUCAGGCUGGUUGGACAUCAGUCGUAGAGUGUAAAGGCAUAAGGGAGCUUGACUGCGAGACCAACAAGUCGAGCAGAGACGAAAGUCGGCCUUAGUGAUCCGGCGCUUCCGAGUGGAAGGGGCGUCGCUCAACGGAUAAAAGUUACUCUAAGGAUAACAGGCUGAUCUCCCCCAAGAGUUCACAUCGACGGGGAGGUUUGGCACCUCGAUGUCGGCUCAUCGCAUCCUGGGGCGGUAGUACGUCCCAAGGGUUGCGCUGUUCGCCCAUGAAAGCGGUACGCGAGCUGGGUUCAGAACGUCGUGAGACAGUUCGGUCCAUAUCCGGUGCAGGCGUUAGAGUAUUGCGAAGACUCCUCCUUAGUACGAGAGGACCGGGGGGAAUGCACCGCUGGUGUACCAGUUAUCGUGCCAACGGUAAACGCUGGGUAGCCAAGUGCAGUUUGGAUAACUGCUGAAAGCAUCUAAGUAGGAAGCCAGCUUCAAGAUGAGUACUCUCACCGCUUCAAGCGGGUAAGAUCACGGCAAGAACAGCCGUUUGAUAGGCAUCAAGUGUAAGUGCAGUAAUGUAUUCAGCUGAGAUGUACUAAUAGAUC